GCAUGCCUAACACAUGCAAGUCGAACGAGAUCUUCGGGUCUAGUGGCGCACGGGUGCGUAACGCGUGGGAAUCUGCCCUUUGGUUCGGAAUAACAGUUGGAAACGACUGCUAAUACCGGAUGAUGACGAAAGUCCAAAGAUUUAUCGCCAGAGGAUGAGCCCGCGUAGGAUUAGCUAGUUGGUGUGGUAAAGGCGCACCAAGGCGACGAUCCUUAGCUGGUCUGAGAGGAUGAUCAGCCACACUGGGGACUGAGACACGGCCCAGACUCCUACGGGAGGCAGCAGUGGGGGAAUAUUGGACAAUGGGGCGAAAGCCUGAUCCAGCAAUGCCGCGUGAGUGAUGAAGGCCUUAGGGUUGUAAAGCUCUCUUACCCGGGAUGAUAAUGACAGUACCGGGAGAAUAAGCCCCGGCUAACUCCGUGCCAGCAGCCGCGGUAAUACGGAGGGAGCUAGCGUUGUUCGGAAUUACUGGGCGUAAAGCGCACGUAGGCGACUUUGUAAGUUAGAGGUGAAAGCCUGGAGCUCAACUCCAGAACUGCCUUUAAGACUGCAUCGCUUGAAUCCAGGAGAGG
rnacentral:rRNA from 1 species